CCGGUUGAUCCUGCCGGAGGCUACCGCUAUUGGAGUUCGAUUAAGCCAUGCGAGUCGCGAGUCUUAGGGACUCGGCGUACCGCUCAGUAACACGUGGGUAACCUGCCCUAUGCUGGGGGAUAACCUCGGGAAACUGAGAAUAAUACCCCAUAGUUCACCACGCCUGGAACGGUGGGUGGACCAAAGCUCCGGCGGCAUAGGAUGGGCCUGCGGCGUAUCAGGUUGUAGGGGGUGUAAUGUACCCUCUAGCCCUCUACGCGUACGGGUGUUGAGAGACAUCGCCCGGAGAUGGAUUCUGAGACACGAAUCCAGACCCUACGGGGUGCAGCAGGCGCGAAAACUUGGCAAUGCGAGAAAUCGUGACCAGGGAACUCCAAGUGCAUCGGGUAAGACCGAUGCUUUUCUUGACUCUUCAAAGGUCUUGGAAUAAGGGGUGGGUAAGGACGGUGCCAGCCGCCGCGGUAAUACCGGCGCCCCAAGUGGUAGUCGCUUUUAUUGGGCCUAAAACGUCCGUAGCCGGUCUGGUACAUUCGUGGGUAAAUCAACCAGCUCAACUGGUUGAAUUCUGCGAGCACGGCCAGACUUGGGACCGGGAGAGGUGUGGGGUACUCUCAGGGUAGGGGUAAAAUCCUGUCAUCCUGAGAGGACCACCUGUUGCGAAGGCGCCACACUAGAACGGAUCCGACGGUCAGGGACGAAGCCUAGGGGCACGAACCGGAUUAGAUACCCGGGUAGUCCUAGGUGUAAACGCUGUGGACUUGAUGUUGGGGGCGCUCCGAGCGCACUCAGUGUCGAAGCGAAGGUGAUAAGUCCACUGCCUGGGGAGUACGGUCGCAAGGCUGAAACUUAAAGGAAUUGGCGGGGGAGCACCGCAACCUGAGGAUUGUGCGGUUUAAUUGGAUCAACGCCGG
rnacentral:rRNA from 1 species